AUUGAACGCUGGCGGCAGGCCUAACACAUGCAAGUCGAGCGGAUGAAGGGAGCUUGCUCCUGGAUUCAGCGGCGGACGGGUGAGUAAUGCCUAGGAAUCUGCCUGGUAGUGGGGGAUAACGUCCGGAAACGGGCGCUAAUACCGCAUCCGUCCUGAGGGAGAAAGUGGGGGAUCUUCGGACCUCACGCUAUCAGAUGAGCCUAGGUCGGAUUAGCUAGUUGGUGGGGUAAAGGCCUACCAAGGAGACGAUCCGUAACUGGUCUGAGAGGAUGAUCAGUCACACUGGAAGUGAGACACGGUCGCGACUCCUGCGGGAGGCCGCAGUGGGGAAUAUUAGGCGAUGGGGGAAAGCGUGAUACAGCAAUGCCGCGUGUGUGAAGAAGGUCUUCGGACGGGAAAGCACUUUAAGUUGGGGGGAUGUAAAGUAAGUUAAUACCUUGCUGUUUUGACGGUACCGGCAGAAUAAGCACCGGCUAACUUCGUG
rnacentral:rRNA from 1 species